CCUGCUCCUGAAGGAUAAUAGCUCAUCCAUUGGUCUUAGACCAAAA
rnacentral:tRNA from 1 species